CACUGCUGCCGUUUUCAGUCCGGAUGACGUAGAGGUUUGCCAUUUGACAGAUGGUUCACACUUUGGCGAAAUAUCGCUGCUAAUAGAGGAAGGAAAGCGAGUCGUGACUGUUGUAGCGAUCGAGUGCUGCGAAUUAUACUUUCUAAGUCGUAAGGACUUUCAAAUCGCGAUGGCCCCGUAUCCCGAAUUGAGGAUGGAAAUGAAGGCAAUGGCCGAAAAGCAAAUUUUGCAUUCAUUGUUUGCGCGACGAUUAUAAACGGAAGAGUCUUGUUUUUGUGUUUUUUCAAGGUUUAGUCUUUCGGAUAUUUAGAUGCUACUAACAUGUGCGGAGACGUAAACAAAUCUAAUUCGGCAUAAAUUGUACUUGUCAAAUACCGCACUAGAUUUCUGUAGACAUUUUCUAUUGUAGUAAUAGUCUGAAAUAUUAGACGAGUAAAAAUAU